GACGAACGCUGGCGGCGUGCUUAACACAUGCGAGUCGAACGGAAAGGCCUCUUUCGGGGGGUACUCGAGUGGCGAACGGGUGAGUAACACGUGAGUAACCUGCCCUUGACUUUGGGAUAACUUCAGGAACCUGGGGCUAAUACCGGAUAGGAGCUCCUGCUGCAUGGUGGGGGUUGGAAAGUUUCGGCGGUUGGGGAUGGACUCGCGGCUUAUCAGCUUGUUGGUGGGGUAGUGGCUUACCAAGGCUUUGACGGGUAGCCGGCCUGAGAGGGUGACCGGCCACAUUGGGACUGAGAUACGGCCCAGACUCCUACGGGAGGCAGCAGUGGGGAAUAUUGCACAAUGGGUGGAAGCCUGAUGCAGCAACGCCGUGUGCGGGAUGACGGCCUUCGGGUUGUAAACCGCUUUCGCUCAUGACGAAGCUUUGUGUGACGGUAGUGGGUAAAGAAGCACCGGCUAACUACGUG
rnacentral:rRNA from 1 species